rnacentral:tRNA from 5 species
UAGAAUGAAGCUCGCUGGAUUGAGUGUUUAGCUGUUAACUAAAAUAUUACGGGAUCAAGGCCCGUCUUUCUAG